rnacentral:sRNA from 1 species
CGAAUUAUUAUCAUCAUUUCUUAGGAAAUGGUGGGAUAGUUUGCGUCACUAGAAACUUUCAAAACCCGCCUAAGAGGCGGGUUUU